UCCGUGUUCACCACGGCAGUCUCCUUAGAGAGCCCAACUGAAUGCUGGCAACUAAGGACAAGGGUUGCGCUCGUUGCGGGACUUAACCCAACAUGUCACCACACGAGCUGACGACAGCCAUGCAGCACCUGUCACUCGGCUUACUUGCGUAAGAGACCGUAUCUCUACGGCUGUCCGAGGAUGUCAAACCCAGGUAAGGUUCUUCGCGUUGCUUCGAAUUAAACCACAUGAUCCACCGCUUGUGCGGGCCCCCGUCAAUUCCUUUGAGUUUUAGUCUUGCGACCGUACUUCCCAGGCGGGGUACUUAGUGCGUUAGCUCCGGUUCAGCGGGGGUCAAGACCCACCAAACCUAGUACCCAUCGUUUACAGCGUGGACUAC
rnacentral:misc_RNA from 1 species